AUUCUCUGUUAAGCCACUGAAUGAAGAAGGCUGCCACAUUUUCCUCUGGGUCAAUAUCAACAGCAAAACAAUAUCCCAGAACGGUCAUUUCUGGGACAAUAAAUAGUUUUCCAGAGCUGCUAUCUUAGGCCUCUCUGCCACUAAGGGAUUAAAGAGAAAUGCACACCCCUCCAGAAUUUCCUGUCCUGUCUUGCGGUUAACUUAAAACAUUUUCAACUCCCGCCUCCCCCUUUCUCACCAUCUCUCUUCAUGGUUAAAGAGGUUAUAAAUUUGCAAAGGAAAUGAUUAAGCAAAUCCAGAAAAUUUGGCCAUGGGACCUGAUUUUUCAAGGCCUUAGUUUUUGAAAGCUGAAGAAAUCUGUCCACUGAAGGAUUUGCACAUGAGUUUUUUAGUCUUAGGGCUGGGGCAUAAUUUCCUGUUUUUGUAUUCUCAAAACUGUUAAGCUACUUGUGAACAACUGGCCAGCAAAGAUAGGGAGGGGGCAGGGGAUGCGGAGAGAGGGUUGUGAGCCCAGAGGGGAGGAGAAAGGCUGUUUCUCCUCAGUUCUCACAGAACCUCUAUGAAAAUAGAAAGAUUUAUUUAUUUAUUUACUUUAAAGACUGUGAAGUAGAGACAAGGGGUAGAUUCUAGACAUUGAAGUUGGAGGUGUGAGUGGUAAAGAGGAGAAGAAACAUGUUUUAGCAGGAACUUGAAUAAGCUGAUUGAAACUCAAAGAACAGUCUGUUUCCAUAAGCAUGAACAUUUCUUAGACACUCAUUUUGUGCUUUGCAUGGAAUACAUCGUUAAAUCCCCACAGCAACUCAGUGAGGUGGAUUCUACUAGUGUCUCCACUUUAUGGAUGUGAAAGUGAAGCUGGAAGAAGUUAAGGAACCUGCUCAAAGCCACGUGGCUAGCAAGUAGCACCACUGGGAUUGCAACCAAGGCUGUUUGGACCCAGAGCCUGUGUUCAUAGCUACUGCUCUCUUCUGAAGAUAAAGGAGGAGACAAGGAUGUCAGCAUGACCAUAGCAUACAUGUUCAUUUAUUUAGAGCCAGGGAAGGGGGUGGGACACUAAUCAAGGUUGCCCCUUCCCUUCACUUCCCUUCCCUUCCCUUCCCUUCCCUUCCCUCCCCUCCCUUCUCCUCCCCUCCCCUCCCCUUCCCUUCCCUUUUUUCUCCUCUUAAAGCCACCAACUGUGCUAGGUAUUUGUAUGUUUACUCUCAGAUCAUUUUUCCAAGCUUCUCUUCAAACUGCAUUUCCCAGGUUCCAUUACCAACUGGCUUCUGGUUAAGUUCAGCCAGUGGGCGGCACUGACACGUAUUUUUCCUGCCUCCUCCCUCCAGUCAACAAAAAGGUACUGCUUGCAGAAGCCUCCAUUGGGUUCCAGCUACCCUCAAGCAGCCUCACCCCCAUCCACAUGGGGUUCUAUUUCCCACAGGGUGCCGGGUUCCCUAGCUCCAGAAGCAUCACCUCUUCCCUUUGGCUGUGUGUCUCUAGUGGUGGUUCUUUUUGUAGCCUAUUUCUAUUUCUUUCUUUCUUUUUUUUUUUAAAUUAUACUUUAAGUUUUAGGGUACAUGUGCACAAUGUGCAGGUUAGUUACAUAGGUAUACAUGUGCCAUGUUCUAUUUCUAAUCUCCGGGUGGGCCUCACGGCCCCAUGGUUGUCUUUUCAACUCUUCCAGUACCUUUAAAACUAGCACCCAUAUUAAUGUCCUUCUAUUCAGCUCCUUGUCAUGGGAUAGAGGUUCCCGAGAAAACCCUAAGACACAGAUCACAGAUUUUUCUUUUUUUUUUUUGGAACAAAGUCUCGCUCUUGUCCCCCAGGCUGGAGUGCGAUGGUGUGAUCUCGGUUCAUGGCAACCUCUGCCUCCCGGGUUCAAGGGAUUCUCCUGCCUCAGCCCCCCGAGUAGCUGGGAUUACAGGCGUCUGCCACCACACCCGGCUAAUUUUUGUAUUUUUAGUAGAGAUGGGAUUCUCCUUCCUCAGCCCCCCGAGUAGCUGGGAUUACAGGCGUCUGCCACCA
rnacentral:lncRNA from 1 species